UCUCUCCCGCAUCCGAGUUGGACCCAUAACUGGUUGGCUCCUGCAGGAGCCCGGCGCUGAUGGCGGCACCGCAAAUCUUCAAGAGCUCCUUGCAAUCCAAAAGCCUCGCCACCUCUUCGAUAUUCACUAGCUUGCUCUGGGUGACCACUAAUUUUCCCGUGUAGACAAAUUCCAAAAACGUGGAAAAGUCUCCGGGCUGCAUGUUGGAAAGUGGGAUGUUGUCCCUGGCAGCGUCCUGGGAGAGCAGGAUAUUCUUGAAGUAGCCACUGGAGGCGGCGAGGAUCACCUGGUGCGCCUGGAAAACCUGCACGUCUCCCUGGUGUUCCACCUGUACGGUGACGUCACUGAAGUGCCCCUGCAGCCUCAGGUGGUGUAGGGAGUCCAGGAUGUGCUCGUGGUGGGACGUUGAGACUGUAUGCAGUAGAAAUAUCUUUUGAGUAUCCUCCCUGGUCUUGUGCAAGGCAACAUGAUGACUCCCCCAGCAUGCAGCCAAACGUGUGCAAACAAGCAGCUCACCUGGGGGCACUUUUUGUUUGUUGAAAAGGUUAGAAGCGGAAGAGGUCACGUGAUUCAGCAGCCGCCCUGCAUGCCAGCCCAGUGACAUGGCUGUUUUGUUAUGGAAGCGUGUCAAGCAUGUUUGCUUUCCAGGUGUUUGUGUUUGCGCCUCACCUUGACUUUGCCACGGUGACACAAAGCGGUGACUUCGUAGAAGAGGGCCAAUCUCCCCGUCGUUGUCUGCAAAGUAAACAAACAAGCUAGCCUCCACACCAGGACUGGCGUUUGUACACAGGUGGUCGCGCCUCAGAUGUUCCAGGUUGCCUCAUUUGAGGGCAAAAAGGCCAUCACAUCAUGUUCUAGCCAGGAGGCGGGGUUGCCAUGGAAACGCAGCAUCUCUUUCCGUGGGGAGCUUGUCUCUCUGUCUCAUUAGGGACCCUCGCAUCAGUGAUAUUGCACACUGCCGGGCGAUGACUCACUCGCGUGGUUUGGAGCACGCUGGUCACAACAUUAGGCACACCUGCACCUGCUUGUUGCCUUUUCAUACAAAACAAACCUUUGUUCAACAUUAGCUUCAUUACUUUUUCUGACAAAACAUUAGAAACACCCCUUUUUGUCACUCAUCAUUAUUAUGUGUAUUGAUGUUUGUACAGUUUCAUUGCCGUGAUUACUGAUUGUUAUGAUUGAAAAUGAUGCAUCAUAUUAUUGUUCCAAAUAUUUCAUAAAAUGUUGGAUAUUUAUAGAUUAUGCUUGCAUGUUUCCUUUUUGCAGUGGUAAUCUAUGUGAAGCCUGUCAUGGCAGUCACUGCGAGGACUCACUAGCGUGCACUGUGCACACACACACACACUAAAGCACACACUCGUCUCUCAGUCGUUUAUCUCCGCCGCCAGCGUGAUGGGGCUGCUAAUCUCUUCCGUUGUUUUCCUUUCUCAAGCAGCACCGCCGUCUUUUAUGAGACAAUUUUCUUGCAUCUGCACAAGAGAGUGAAAGUGAGAAGCAUGUUUGAUCAGCGUUUUGGUGCACAAAUGUUUCUCCUGAGCAGAUAGACUUCAUGAAUGUUGAUGGCAAGACGGUGACGUCGUUGCUGUAAGGCAGGGGUUGGGAGCCUUUUUGGCCAGGAGGGCCAUGAAAGCCAAAUUUCCAUCCAUCCUUCCAUCUUCUGUGCUGCUUAUCCCGAGUAGGGUCGCGGGCAUGCUGGAGCGUAUCCCAGCUGACUUCAACUGGUCAACUGGUGUCCAGCCAAUGGCAGGGCACAUAUAGACAAACACUCACAUUCAUACCUAUGGACUAUUUAGAGUCUCCAAUGAAGCUAACAUGCAUGUUUUUGGAAUGUGGGAGGAAACCCAUGCACACACACACACACACGCAUGCACGGGGAGAACAUUCAAACUCCACACUGAGAGUCCAACCCAGAUCUUCCAAAUCUCGUGACUGUGUGGCCAACAUGCUAACCACUCGGCCACCGUGCGGCCAAAAGCCAAAUUUUUAAAAAUGUAUUUCUGUGAGAGCCACAGCAUAUUUUUAACACAAAAUACAGAUAGAUGCGCGCAUUU